GUUGUGUUUAACCUCACUUUUUGUAAUUAAUAAAAAUUGUGGAGUCAUAAAUCGUAAGUUUUUCACUUCCUAUUUAUUCUCCAUCAACUACGAUUUGAUGAUCGAGAAACUCAACUCAGACUGAAGACGGUUAUUUAAACUAAAAUGAAUCAAAAUCAUGGGGAAAUAAUAAAUAAGUUUAUUUUAAUUAUGCAAUACAAACAUUUUCUACACAAGGUUAGAUACAUAACCUAAAAAAAUUUUACACAUCUAAUUUGUCUAAUUAUUUAAGUGGAAGAGUUCUUGAUUCAAAAGAAUUAUUUAUUAAAUAACGAGAUGAUUUUAAAUACGAUAAAGUGUUGUGAUUUGGUUAAUAUGGUCCAGGAUAGGGUUAAAAUUGUGUUUAACCCUGAAUUUUUAAGCUCAACUAAUCCUUUAUUUGGACUAGUUUAAAUGUAAGGUUAGAUACAUAACCUAAGAAAAUUUUGCACAUCUAAUUUGUUAAAUUAUUUAAUUGGAAGAGUUCUUGAUUCAAAAGAAUUAUUUAUUAAAUAAUGAGAUGAUUUUAAAUACGAUAAAGUGUUGUGAUUUGGUUAAUAUGGUCCAGGAAAGGGUUAAAAUUGUGUUUAACCCUGAAUUUUUAAGCUCAACUAAUCCUUUAUUUGGACUAGUUUAAAUCUAAGGUUGGAUUAUGAAGAAUUUGAUCAAGGUUAUUUAAAAAAAAAUAAAUUUGAGGUUAUAAAAACAAUAAUGAGGUUAGAUCAUCUAAUAUUUAGUUAAUUAAUACUAAUUCUACUUACAAAAUUAAAUAAUUAAAUGUCCUAACUAAAUGUUACCAAAGCUAGCGCCAUCUUUUGAUAACUAGCUGUAUUAAUAUUUAAAUAAAUAUAAACAUUUGAUAUUGUUGAUAGGCUAUAAUAACAAUUCUAGUAAGUAUUAAUAUUUAUUAUAUUAUUACCUUUUUAAUUUUAUUCCGA